AUUAUUGCCCAUUUGGUCCCUCCUUGUUAUUCGUGCAUUCAACUUGGUCAUUUUCCUUUUAUUUUUUUUAUUUUCCCCAAAUUUAUGUUUUAAGUUCGAUUUGGUCCCUUUUUUGUUAUUUUUGCUAUUUUAUUAUUAAACAAAUUAAUUUAAUAUUAUUAUUCCUAUUAUUAUUUUCCCUUUUUUAUUUAUUUACUCAUUA
rnacentral:lncRNA from 1 species